AGUGAACGCUGGCGGCAGGCCUAACACAUGCAAGUCGAGCGGCAGCGGGUCCUUCGGGAUGCCGGCGUGCGGCCGACGGGUGAGGAAUACAUCGGAAUCUGCCCUGUCGUGGGGGAUAACCUAGGGAAACUUAGGCUAAUCUCGCAUACGACCUACGGGUGAAAGCGGGGGAUCGCAAGACCUCGCGCGACUGGCUGAGCCGAAGUCCGAUUUGCUAGUUGGCGGGGUAAAGGCCCACCAAGGCGACGAUCGGUAGCUGGUCUGCGAGGGUGAUCUGCCACACUGGGACUGAGACACGGGCCAGACUCCUACGGGAGGGAGCAGUGGGGAAUAUUGGGCAAUGGGCGGAAGCCUGAUGCAGCCAAGGCGCGUGGGUGAAGAAGGCCUUGGGGUUGUAAAGCCCUUUUAUUCGGGAAGAAAAUGUGUGGGAGAAAACCCCGGGAGGAUGACGGUAACGGAAGAAUAAGCACCGGCUAACUUCGUG
rnacentral:rRNA from 1 species